AAAACAGCGGCACAGAACUUACCCCAUAAGACUCCUCUUAGGCAAAAUUCCCACAUGGGAGGAGUUCAGUGCUUUCAUUGUCCUUGCCUCAAACCACUCAAAUCAGUGAGGGUGAGCAAAACAUGUGGGAUCAUGUCCGUGCUGGGGACAGGAGGCAAAGCGAUAUGAGUUGAACUGCUUGCUGUAGCUCCCGCUUACUUCAACCAGAACUGUGAGCGCAUACUUCUCUUGAAAGGCAGGUCCUGACUGAUCUGGCAAUUAACGUCCUCUGACUGCUUGCAAGAAGACUGCCAGUGGACCUCCAAGUUACGUGGUCAAUUUGUUUUCUUCCUGCCUGGACAGUAGGGAAGGAAUGUGGUGCAGUAGCAGAUAUACCACUCAGUUUGGGGUACCAAAGAAGGCACUGGUGUAGCCUAAAUACUGGCCUUGAGGAGCGGUCAUGUGGAGGAACACUAUUGCAGGAAAGUGAGCGGAAAAAUGGAGAGCAGAGAAGAAUGGUGAACAAAAAUGGAAGGAUGAGAGUAAGAGGUGGAAUGUGAAGCAGCAGAGAGAAUGGGAGCAGAGGGAUGGAUGGAAGAGGAACUGCAGUGACCAGUGUGGACAAAAGGUAGCACAGGAAGAAAAUAAAGAGAAAAUUAGCUAUGAUAAAGCAUAGCAAGUAUUGGGAUUUAUGCCCUUAACCUUC